rnacentral:tRNA from 1 species
GCGGAUAUGGCGGAACUGGCAGACGCGCACGGUUCAGGUCCGUGUGCUCGAAAGGGCAUGGAAGUUCGAGUCUUCUUAUCCGCACCA